rnacentral:rRNA from 1 species
UACGGAGGGGGCUAGCGUUGUUCGGAUUGACUGGGCGUAAAGCGCGCGUAGGCGGGUCGGUAAGUCAGAGGUGAAAGCCCGGGGCUCAACCCCGGAAUGGCCUUUGAGACUCCCGGCCUGGAGUUCGAGAGAGGUGGGUGGAAUUCCGAGUGUAGAGGUGAAAUUCGUAGAUAUUCGGAGGAACACCAGUGGCGAAGGCGGCUCACUGGACUGGUAUUGACGCUGAGGUGCGAAAGCGUGGGGAGCAAACAGG